CCUCUCGAAUUUAGCUUAUAUCCAGAACAUUCUCUGAGGGACAGCGAGUGUUGAGUCGAUUUCUUCGUUUUUCUCAUUUCUAAAUGCAAAAAAUCACGAAAAAAUUUUAAUUUUGCCCAAAAUCAAAAAAAAGAAAGAAGAACACUACUUUAAUUUAAGUUAGUAGUUAAGGGGAAAAAAAUUUCCUUCAGUGAAACAACUUUCUUACUCCAUCACAAUCUGUUACUCGUUUUCUACGCCUUUGUCUCGAAGUAAAUUUUCAACAUCCCAACAUGGCAACCAUCCCUUCUCACGUGUUUGUAUCACAUUGCGUCAAUUAGUCGUUUUCGUCAGUGAAACGUUUCAUAUCCCUUUUGAUAAUGUUGCAUUAUUUUUUGCUAAUCUUCUCUUUUUAUCUGCAGAUCAACUUAAUAUCUUUUGCCAUCUUGAAUUUCCUGAAAAAUGAUCAACACUGCUGGAGUUAAUUACCCAAUUGCCUCUCUAUACGUUGGUGAUCUUCACAAUGAGGCCACUGAAGCCAUGCUUUUCGAGAAGUUUUCCACUGCUGGGCCUGUGAUUUCCAUUAGAGUAUGCAGAGACAUGACCACUGGUCGUUCACUUGGCUAUGUCAAUUUCCCACAACCAGCUGAUGCCCUAGACAGCAUGAACUUUGAUGUCCUUCGAAAAAGACCAAUUGGUAUCAUGUGGUCACAGCAUGGAGUAUGCAGAGAAAUGAUCACUUGCCCUUCACUUGGCUAUGCCUAUGUCAAUUUCCAACAACCAGCUGAUGCUAAGAUAACAAGUGGGUGUAGACUUAUCGUUUAUUCUUCUUAUUGUUCAACUGAAUGAGCCCUUAGUCUACUGUAUUGAUUGAGUGAAAGUUGAGUAGUUGAAAAUUUUAUUUCUGAAGUAUUAAUGCAGUAGUACAAUUUCUGUGUUUGAUGAA